CUAACUGGAAAACCGACGCUUUUGCGCCGGGAAAAGAUGUCUGGGGAGACGAUCCGCCGCGGAGAGAGGCGAUGGGCUGUGGGGAUGGAGUCAAGGGUCUUCAGGUGUGCGCGGGUCGAGCGGCGCUCCUGCCCCGGAGGCGCUCACCUGCCCGGACAUCACUGCUCCAGCGCUCAGCGGAGGAGGGUUUCCCUUCCCUCUCCGAACCUACCCACACCUCCUUGGAGGCCCGUUCCAUUGGGAGCCGGUCCUAAAAAUCCACACUCUUCUCCCUCGCCUGGGACCAUGGGAGAAUAAUUUGGAGUUCUUUCCGGGGACCUUUACGAAAGCUUCGGACUCUUCCUGCCCUCCUCCCCGUGCCCCGCGACCAGUCAAGAAGCCGAAGUCCCUUUUCCUGAAGGCAUCUGUCCAAGGAAGCUGGAAGUGACCAUCCCGCCUGGGGCCCGUCUAUGAGAUGCAGGUCAGACUGGAGGAUGCGAAAGGAGCAGAAUGACUCAUCCAACUGCGCCCAGUAGGCACAGUGACUACAGCCUGUAAUAUUUUUGGAGACUCCUGAAAAUAUUCUCUUUAAA